rnacentral:rRNA from 1 species
GACGAACGCUGGCGGCGUGCCUAAUACAUGCAAGUCGAGCGAUGACUAAAGAUAGCUUGCUAUUUUUAUGAAGAGCGGCGAACGGGUGAGUAACGCGUGGGAAAUCUGCCGAGUAGCGGGGGACAACGUUUGGAAACGAACGCUAAUACCGCAUAACAAUGAGAAUCGCAUGAUUCUUAUUUGAAAGAAGCAAUUGCUUCACUACUUGAUGAUCCCGCGUUGUAUUAGCUAGUUGGUAGUGUAAAGGACUACCAAGGCGAUGAUACAUAGCCGACUUGGGAGGGGGAUCGGCCACACUGGAACUGAGACACGGCCCAGACUCCUACGGGAGGCAGCAGUAGGGAAUCUUCGGCAAUGGGGGCAACCCUGACCGAGCAACGCCGCGUGAGUGAAGAAGGUUUUCGGAUCGUAAAACUCUGUUGUUAGAGAAGAACGUUAAGUAGAGUGGAAAAUUACUUAAGUGACGGUAUCUAACCAGAAAGGGACGGCUAACUACGUGCCAGCCGCCGCAGUAA